AUGGAUAUGAGAAUGCGAGUGUCAGUAAUCUCCGCACCUAGACUGGUGACCUUGGGUUACAUUUCUCAGAAUUCACAGGACUCCAAAAUCAUGUUUGGCUCCACUGUUAUUCAGAGAUUGCACGUUGUUAGCCUGACAACGGUGGUGCGUACUGUCAAGAUCUUGGCCGUCCAUAUGAAUUUUAAUCUGGAUAUGGUUAUUGACUUGAUGAAAUGCUUUGUAUGCUUGGAGAAGUUGUAUAUGAAGAUUCAGACAGAUUCACCAGCAGGAGCAAAUUUCUGGCGUCAUAAACACCGGAAUUUUCUCACAUCUCAGGACAUCCGUUUGAAGACCUUAGUGCUGGGACAUUACCGAGGCAUCCAGGCACAAGUUAACUUUGUCACAUUCUUUAUACUGAAUGCGAAACUGCUAGAGUCCAUCCGACUUGAGGUUGAUUCCAGAGAUUACAAUGACGGAUUUUUCGCAGAACAGUGUAGGAUGCUUCAGAUGGAGAACAGGAUUUCUAGAGGUGCUCAGCUCUGUGUUACACAGGUUCUCACAAUGAUGUUUCGAGCACCGUUGACCUCAAUGAUUUGGAUUUGGCUGAUCCGUUCGCAUGUAGAUGUUGAGAGUGGGCCUGGCUCCUGGUUGAGUUAUUCUUGCGUGUCUCAUUUGGUGUUUUUGCCCAAGCUUGGACCAAACGACGAUGGCCAGAGUCAGCUAUAUUAUGAAGAUAUCAUCUGGGGGUGCUCAUUUUGA
rnacentral:rRNA from 1 species